rnacentral:rRNA from 1 species
AUUGAACGCUGGCGGCAGGCCUAACACAUGCAAGUCGAGCGGAAGAAGGGAGCUUGCUCCUGGAUUCAGCGGCGGACGGGUGAGUAAUGCCUAGGAAUCUGCCUGGCAGUGGGGGAUAACGUCCGGAAACGGGCGCUAAUACCGCAUACGUCCUGAGGGAGAAAGUGGGGGAUCUUCGGACCUCACGCUAUCAGAUGAGCCUAGGUCGGAUUAGCUAGUUGGUGGGGUAAAGGCCUACCAAGGCGACGAUCCGUAACUGGUCUGAGAGGAUGAUCAGUCACACUGGAACUGAGACACGGUCCAGACUCCUACGGGAGGCAGCAGUGGGGAAUAUUGGACAAUGGGCGAAAGCCUGAUCCAGCCAUGCCGCGUGUGUGAAGAAGGUCUUCGGAUUGUAAAGCACUUUAAGUUGGGAGGAAGGGCAGUAAGUUAAUACCUUGCUGUUUUGACGUUACCAACAGAAUAAGCACCGGCUAACUUCGUG